AGGAGGAGUUAUGGAUAGUUUUA
rnacentral:miRNA from 1 species